rnacentral:lncRNA from 1 species
AUACGUUUCCUCUGGGCAGAUUAAUAGCCACUGGAGUCCUUAGUUAUGAUGGUGAUAAAUGGGCGAAACACCGAAGAAUCAUCAACCCGGCUUUCCACCUUGAGAAGAUCAAGGUUUAAAGGCUUUAUCUUCCAUAGUCCCCAAUCAGAUUAGAUUGCUUUAUGUAUGUAUGUUCAUUUGGCUCUGAACCAAAUUGUGCCUUCUGCUUCUAUGUAUAGAAUAUGGUACCUGCGUUCCACCAGAGCUGCAGCGAGAUUGUUUGCAAAUGGGACAAGUUAGUGUCGGAUAAAGAGUCAUCAUGUGAGGUAGAUGUUUGGCCUGGGCUUGUGAGUAUGACUGCAGAUGUGAUCUCCCGUACUGCUUUUGGCAGCAGCUGCGUAGAAGGGCAGAGGAUAUUUGAGCUCCAAGCAGAACUAGCACAGCUCAUCAUUCAAACGGUUAGGAAAGCUUUCAUCCCUGGAUAUAGGUAAUGAAAAACUCAACUUAUCUGAUUUAAUAUAGGUCCUUCUGAGCUUGACUCUUGAUCUUAAAAUGUCGCAAUCUAUUCCUUAAAGAUAUGAACCGUGUUAACAUUAUCUUUCUGCCAAUCUUUUUCUGUAGUUAUCUCCCAACAAAAGGUAACAGAAGGAUGAAAGCAAAAGCAAGAGAAAUCCAAGUUAUACUGAGAGGGAUCGUUAACAAAAGGUUAAGGGCCAGAGAAGCUGGUGAAGCACCAAACGACGAUUUACUGGGAAUACUUCUUGAAUCGAAUUUGGGGCAAACGAAAGGAAACGGAAUGAGUACCGAGGAUCUGAUGGAGGAGUGCAAGUUGUUCUAUUUCGUCGGGCAAGAGACAACAUCAGUACUUCUGGUUUGGACAAUGGUUCUGUUAAGUCAACACCAAGAUUGGCAGGCUCGUGCACGAGAAGAAGUGAAGCAAGUGUUUGGCGAUAAAGAACCUGAUGCAGAAGGACUCAACCAGCUCAAAGUUGUAAGUAAAAGCAAAUCAUAAACCUCUUGGUGACUUUUGUUGUGUUUUGAUGAUUUUUGAUGAAUGAUUUGAUCCCACGCAGAUGACGAUGAUAUUAUAUGAGGUCCUUAGGCUAUAUCCUCCAAUACCUCAGCUGAGCAGAGCCAUUCACAAAGAGAUGGAGCUUGGAGAUCUGACACUACCAGGCGGCGUUCUGAUCAAUCUACCUAUCCUUCUAGUCCAACGCGACACGGAGCUGUGGGGAAACGAUGCAGGAGAGUUCAAGCCAGAUAGAUUCAAAGACGGUCUCUCAAAGGCAACAAAGAACCAAGCCUCCUUCUUUCCUUUUGCGUGGGGAUCGAGGAUCUGCAUUGGCCAGAAUUUUGCAUUGCUUGAGGCAAAGAUGGCAAUGGCAUUGAUACUCCAGAGAUUCUCCUUUGAGCUUUCUCCUUCCUAUGUUCACGCACCUUACACAGUCUUCACCAUUCACCCACAGUUCGGUGCUCCUCUUAUCAUGCACAAGCUCUAAUCGUUCGUAGCAACCCAUUUUGUUGUUAUCAAAUAUACUUUCCAUUCACAGAUGAAACAAUUCCAUAUCAGUCUACCUAUAAUGCUAGUCCAACGCGACACCAUGAUGUGGGAAUUCAAGCCUGAGAGAUUCAAAGACGGUCUUUCAAAGGCAACAAAGAGCCACGUCUCCUUCUUUCCAUUUGCAUGGGGACCGAAGAUAUGCAUCGGCCAGAAUUUUGCCAUGUUGGAGGCAAAGAUGGCAAUGGCGUUGAUUCUACAGAGAUUCUCCUUCGAGCUUUCUCCUUCCUAUGUUCAUGCGCCUCAAAUAGUCGUCACCAUUCACCCACAGUUCGGUGCACAUCUUAUCCUGCGCAAGCUGUAAUUCUAGAAUCCCAUGUGCUCUUGUCAGAUAAACAGAGGAAAAUAAACCAGAUCAUAGUAUAAAACUCAAAUCUUUUUAUUAAUUGAAUUCAGAACUUUGUGCUCACAUAUGUCUUGACAAACCAAAAUAUUUCCAAGAAAAAGAGUGAAACGCAUGGACCAAUAUAUGUCUUCCUAUUUUCGUCGCUUUUCACACGAAGUCCAAAUUUGCUUCUUGCGCCUUGGUGGCACGACUGUGAGGGUCCAAGUAAAGCAAAAAUUAAUUAGUCAUUACAAAAUAAUUGCCCAAAAUAUCAAAAUAUAAAGUAUUUAAGACAUCAGGGGUGAUGUCAUCACCACAUCCAUAUCUUCUCCGAAAUUCUAAACAUUUAUACAUCCUGAGAAUGGUCACAAAUUCUCUACCUCUCUCUCUCUCUCUCUCUGGUAGAGAAAAUGGAGAUAUCAGUUGCAUCGGUAACAGUUUCUGUAGCUGUAGUUGUUGUGUCAUGGUGGGUAUGGAGAACUUUACAGCGGGUUUGGCUUAAACCAAAGAUGCUUGAGAGUUACCUGAGAAGACAAGGUCUUGCCGGAACUCCUUACACGCCUCUUGUCGGUGAUUUGAAGAGAAAUUUUAGCAUGCUGGCUGAGGCAAGAUCCAAACCCAUCAACCUAACAGAUGAUAUCACACCACGUAUCGUGCCUUAUCCGUUGCAAAUGCUCAAGACUCAUGGUAUGCUUCCCGGUUGGCAUCUUGAUUCCUCUUUGUUUAGAACUAUUUUGUAGAGUAUCUAGAAAAAGUUUCAACUUUCGUAUCUCUAUGUGGUUGAAACAGGGAGGACUUUCUUUACAUGGUUUGGACCCAUACCAACAAUCACCAUAAUGGAUCCUGAGCAAAUCAAAGAAGUGUUCAACAAAGUUUAUGAUUUCCAGAAGGCACAUACGUUUCCUCUGGGCAGAUUAAUAGCGGCUGGACUCGUUAGUUAUGAUGGUGAUAAAUGGACAAAACACCGAAGAAUCAUCAACCCGGCUUUCCACCUUGAGAAGAUCAAAGUUUAUAAGCUUUCUUUUCCGUAGUCCCAGUUUAGCUUUAUGUAUGUAUGUCCAUUUGGUUCUGAACCAAUUUGUGUCCUCUGCUUUUAUGUACAGAAUAUGGUACCUGCGUUCCACCAGAGCUGCAGCGAGAUUGUUGGCGAAUGGGACAAGUUAGUGACGGAUAAACAGUCAUCCUGUGAGGUGGAUAUUUGGCCUUGGCUUGUGAGUAUGACUGCAGAUGUGAUCUCCCGUACUGCA